rnacentral:rRNA from 1 species
CCUGUUUUACAAAAACAUAGCCUUUAGCAAAACAAGUAUUAAAGGUCUCGCCUGCCCAGUGAAACAUUUAAACGGCCGCGGUAUUCUAACCGUGCAAAGGUAGCGUAAUCACUUGUCUUCUAAAUAAAGACCAGUAUGAACGGCUAAAUGAGGACAAAUCUGUCUCCUGCAACCAAUCUGUGAAAUUGAUCUUCCCGUACAAAAGCUGGAAUAACCACAUAAGACGAGAAGACCCUGUGGAGCUUAAAAUCAACUGCUACACAAACUAGCAUAAGAUUUUAGGUUGGGGCGACUUCGGAACAAAAUAAAACUUCCGAGCACGGAACCACCACUUCCAAAAAGGCCUACGAGCCAAGCACUGACCCAGUCACACUGAUCAACGAACCAAGUUACCCCAGGGAUAACAGCGCAAUCCCCUUCAAGAGUCCAUAUCGACAAGGGGGUUUACGACCUCGAUGUUGGAUCAGGACACCCAAAUGGUGCAGCCGCUA